AGAGUUUGAUCCUGGCUCAGAACGAACGCUGGCGGCGUGGAUAAGACAUGCAAGUCGAACGCUGGUUUGCGGGUAGUAAUAUUUGCAAACUGGAGUGGCGCAAGGGUGUGUAACACGUGGGUAAUCUGCCGUGAAGUCCGGGAUAACUUGCUGAAAGGCGAGCUAAUACCGGAUGUGAACGCAAGUUCAAAGUUGGGGACCGCAAGGCCUGACGCUUCACGAUGAGCCCGCGGCCUAUCAGCUAGUUGGUGAGGUAACGGCUCACCAAGGCUAAGACGGGUAGCUGGUCUGAGAGGACGACCAGCCACACUGGAACUGAGACACGGUCCAGACACCUACGGGUGGCAGCAGUCGAGAAUUUUUCUCAAUGGGCGAAAGCCUGAAGGAGCGACGCCGCGUGGGGGAUGAAUGGCUUCGGCCCGUAAACCCCUGUCAUUUGCGAACAAAUUGCUUCACCUAACACGUGAAGCAUUGAUUGUAGCGGAAGAGGAAGGGACGGCUAACUCUGUGCCAGCAGCCGCGGUAAUACAGAGGUCCCAAGCGUUGUUCGGAUUCACUGGGCGUAAAGGGUGCGUAGGCGGCCAGGUAAGUUUGAUGUGAAAUCCCGCAGCUCAACUGCGGAACUGCAUUGAAUACUAUUUGGCUCGAGGAAUGGAGGGGAGACUGGAAUUCUCGGUGUAGCAGUGAAAUGCGUAGAUAUCGAGAGGAACACCAGUGGCGAAGGCGAGUCUCUGGACAUUUCCUGACGCUCAGGCACGAAAGCCAGGGGAGCAAACGGGAUUAGAUACCCUAGUAGUCC
rnacentral:rRNA from 1 species